rnacentral:rRNA from 1 species
GAUGAACGCUGGCGGCGUGCUUAACACAUGCAAGUCGAACGGGAAACCUUUUAUUGAAGCUUCGGCAGAUUUAGCUGGUUUCUAGUGGCGGACGGGUGAGUAACGCGUGGGUAACCUGCCUUAUACAGGGGGAUAACAACCAGAAAUGGUUGCUAAUACCGCAUAAGCGCACAGGACCGCAUGGUCCGGUGUGAAAAACUCCGGUGGUAUAAGAUGGACCCGCGUUGGAUUAGCUAGUUGGCAGGGUAACGGCCUACCAAGGCGACGAUCCAUAGCCGGCCUGAGAGGGUGAGCGGCCACAUUGGGACUGAGACACGGCCCAGACUCCUACGGGAAGCAGCAGUGGGGAAUAUUGCACAAUGGGGGAAACCCUGAUGCAGCGACGCCGCGUGAAGGAAGAAGUAUCUCGGUAUGUAAACUUCUAUCAGCAGGGAAGAUAGUGACGGUACCUGACUAAGAAGCCCCGGCUAACUACGUG